AUGCUUACCGGGCAGGGAAGAUACCAUGGUUGUAAAGGUUGUUUUCCCAGGGAGAGGCUUAUCCACUGUACUCUGGAUUGGCUGAUCUCUGUAAUUUCCUCCAAUGUGGGAAACUGGACUAUAAUCGGUGGUAGACGGGGAGCAUUUGUGCUCUCCCCUU